UACGAAGGGGGCGAGCGUUGUUCGGAAUUACUGGGCGUAAAGGGCGCGCAGGCGGCCCUUGAAGUCAGGCGUGAAAGCCCCGGGCUCAACCUGGGAGGUGCGCUUGAUACUCGAGGGCUUGAGUGCGGGAGAGGUGAGUGGAAUUCCUAGUGUAGAGGUGAAAUUCGUAGAUAUUAGGAAGAACACCAGUGGCGAAGGCGGCUCACUGGCCCGGUACUGACGCUGAGGCGCGAAAGCGUGGGGAGCAAACAGGG
rnacentral:rRNA from 1 species